UACGGAGGGAGCUAGCGUUGUUCGGAAUUAUUGGGCGUAAAGCGCACGUAGGCGGCUUUGUAAGUUAGAGGUGAAAGCCCGGGGCUCAACCCCGGAAUUGCCUUUAAGACUGCAUCGCUUGAAUCCAGGAGAGGUGAGUGGAAUUCCGAGUGUAGAGGUGAAAUUCGUAGAUAUUCGGAAGAACACCAGUGGCGAAGGCGGCUCACUGGACUGGUAUUGACGCUGAGGUGCGAAAGCGUGGGGAGCAAACAGG
rnacentral:rRNA from 1 species